UGGGGAAUUUUGCACAAUGGGGGAAACCCUGAUGCAGCGACGCCGCGUGAUUUAGAAGGCCUUCGGGUUGUAAAAAUCUUUUCUAUGGGAAGAAAAUGACAGUACCAUAGGAAUAAGGACCGGCUAAUUACGUGCCAGCAGCCGCGGUAAUACGUAAGGUCCGAGCGUUGUCCGGAAUCAUUGGGCUUAAAGGGUACGUAGGCGGGUAAGCAAGUUAGAAGUGAAAUCCUAUAGCUCAACUAUAGUAAGCUUUUAAAACUGCUCAUCUUGAGGUAUGGAAGGGAAAGUGGAAUUCCUAGUGUAGCGGUGAAAUGCGCAGAUAUUAGGAGGAAUACCGGUGGCGAAGGCGACUUUCUGGCCAUAACCUGACGCUGAGGUACGAAAGCGUGGGUAGCAAACAGG
rnacentral:rRNA from 1 species